AUGUUUUCCGGUAACUGUACUGAUGCCAAUAACCUUAUUGUUGUCCAUUUUUCUAAUCACCUGAUUGAUGUUUCCUGAUCUGCUACGGCUUCUGACUCUGCCGAGAAUCUCCAACAGCCACCUGUCACUGUUAAAGAAAUAAAAGAUAAAAGAAUGAUGUCGAAUUGUGAAGCAACACGGGACGCCUCCCAAAUCAGAACUGCGAGACUUCCUUCGACCUAUACACAUAUUGCUCUGGCCAUCGCCAGACAUCCUCCAACUGCAGUCCAAAUCUCACGCGGUCACCGUCAAAUCACGACUGCAUCGUCCCUGUUUCCCUGA